rnacentral:tRNA from 1 species
AAAAGAAUUAGUUAAAAUAUAAUUUGAGUUUGUCAAACUCAAGUUGCCUAAGGUGGCAUUCUUUUA